GAAAUGCGAUACGUAAUGCGAAUUGCAGAAUUCAGUGAAUCAUCAAAUCUUUGAACGCAAAUUGCGCUUCCUGGAUAGGCCAGGGAGCAUGCCUCUUUGAGUCUCGUUUCUACCUCAUCUCGACUGCUUUUUUUUGCAAGAAAAAUUGCAGGCGGAUAGUGAGCGUCUCAUUCGAAAUGAGUGAGUCGCUUUAAGAAGCGUGAGUUCCAAAACUCCUAGUGAUCAAUUGGCUUCGGCCGGUUGUCUGUGUUUCAAGCACAUUUUUACUAGUGACGUGGAUAAAUUUAUUUUUCAACGUUGCAAUGGUAAGUUUGCGCUUGGGAUGCAUGGCUAAGUCACAAAAAGGAAACCUGAAACUCAAUGGAAAUUAAAUUCUAUUUUUUUGAAUUAGAGCUCAAAUGAAGCAAGAUUACCCGCUGAACUUAA
rnacentral:misc_RNA from 1 species